GCCAAGGUAGUCUAGUCCGGCGAGGCAGCGGACUGCAGAUCCGCUUCAGAAGGGUUCAAAUCCCUUCCUUGGCU
rfam:Methanococcus aeolicus Nankai-3, complete genome.